AACGAACGCUGGCGGCGUGCUUAACACAUGCAAGUCGAACGUGAAAGGCUUCGGCCGAGUAAAGUGGCGCACGGGUGAGUAACGCGUGGGUAAUCUGCCCUUGGGCGGGGGAUAACCUCUCGAAAGGGGGGCUAAUACCGCAUGAGACCACGGCUUCUCGGGGCUGUGGGAAAAGGUGGGUCGCAAGGCCUGCCACCUGAGGAUGAGCCCGCGUACCAUUAGGUUGUUGGUGGGGUAAUGGGCCUACCAAGCCGAAGAUGGUUAGCUGGUCUGAGAGGACGAUCAGCCACACUGGGACUGAGACACGGCCCAGACUCCUACGGGAGGCAGCAGUGGGGAAUAUUGCGCAAUGGGGGAAACCCUGACGCAGCAACGCCGCGUGUGUGAAGAAGGCCUUGGGUCGUAAAGCACUGUUGGNGGACGAGCCGCUCGUGGGGAAUAUCUGCGAGCCCGACGGUACCUCCUGAGGAAGCACCGGCUAACUCCGUGCCAGCAGCCGCGGU
rnacentral:rRNA from 1 species